CCUACGGGUGGCAGCAGUGAGGAAUAUUGGUCAAUGGACGAGAGUCUGAACCAGCCAAGUAGCGUGAAGGAUGACUGCCCUAUGGGUUGUAAACUUCUUUUAUAAAGGAAUAAAACGAUGCACGUGUGCCUUUUUGCAUGUACUUUAUGAAUAAGGAUCGGCAAAUCCCGUGCCAGCAGCCGCGGUAAUAGGGAGGUUCCGAGGGUUAUCCGGAUUUUUGGGGUUUAAAGGGGGGGCAGGGGGAUUUUUAAGUCAGGGGUAAAAUCGUGGGGCUCAACCCCAUCCAGCCGUUGAAACUGGGGAUGUAGAGUGUGAGAGAGGUAUGGGGGAAGCGUGGUGUAGCGGUGAAAGGCAAAGAUAUCAAGAAGAACCCCGGUUGCGAAGGCAGCAUCCCGGUGCACAACUGACGCUCAGGCACGAAAGCGUGGGUAUCGAACAGGAUUAGAUACCCCUGUAGUC
rnacentral:rRNA from 1 species